rnacentral:rRNA from 1 species
AUCCGCAGCAACGCGAGGAACCUUACCAGGUCUUGACAUCCUUUGCACUCUAGAGAUAGAGCUUUCCCUUCGGGGACAAAGUGACAGGUGGUGCAUGGUUGUCGUCAGCUCGUGUCGUGAGAUGUUGGGUUAAGUCCCGCAACGAGCGCAACCCUUAUUGUUAGUUGCCAUCAUUAAGUUGGGCACUCUAGCGAGACUGCCGGUGACAAACCGGAGGAAGGUGGGGAUGACGUCAAAUCAUCAUGCCCCUUAUGACCUGGGCUACACACGUGCUACAAUGGACAGUACAAUGAGCAGCGACACGGCGACGUGAAGCGAAUCUCAUAAAGCUGUUCUCAGUUCGGAUUGUAGGCUGCAACUCGCCUACAUGAAGCCGGAAUCGCUAGUAAUCGCGGAUCAGCACGCCGCGGUGAAUACGUUCCCGGGCCUUGUACACACCGCCCGUCACACCACGAAAGUUUGUAACACCCGAAGUCGGUGAGGUAACCGCAAGGAGCCAACCGCCUAAGGUGGGAUAGAUGAUUGGGGUGAAGUCGUAACAAGGUAACCAAGGGCGAAUUCUG